GAGUAGGCUAAUUCUUGCCUCACAGAGCUAUAAAACUUGCUUGGGGUGUUACUAACUUAAGUGACAGCACUUUAUUCAAAAUAAUUCUUAUUCUCCAUGACAGGCAUUCCAACACCUUCUUUUGAGGUGGGCAUAAUUUUGAUGAAAGAGAAGUAGGCUCAUUUCUUACUUUUUGUGACUGAAUUUUGUUUCUUUGAGCGUCUUGCUCUUAUAGUAAUGGAGGUUGCUAAAAUACUUUGGAGUAUGGGCUUAGAAGGCAGUUAUACUAUUUACCAUAUUACAUCUCUAAGUUGCACUCUCAAAACUUACUUUUCAAGUGCAUUUAGUCAAAGGGAUUCUUAAGUAGUUCAUCUAAUACAAAAUACUAUAACAUCCUAUUUUGCCAUGCCUAGAUCUUAUAGCUAAUUAAUAUUUUUAAAUGUGAAAUCGGUAAAAGUUUGUUUGAAACCAAGCACCCCCCACCAAAAAAUCACGCUUACUCUAGUCUGAUUCUGAAGGCAGAGUGCGGGUUUAACUCAGAAUGUGUCUUGUCUGUAGGUUCCAAGGUGGCCGCAGAGCCAGUGUGUGAAGCGGUGGGAGUUUUUCAUCUCAGCAUAAGAAACUGGCAGUCAGAGCUUCAAGGUGACGGCGAUGGUCCAGCUCCCGUAGGAGAGCAUUCAAGGCUAUCAGCUCUGUCCGUGUGAUGUGAAAAUUGUUCUUCAGUUCAGCAGAGGCAUUAUGCUGACCAUUUUAGGUUCCCACAUGUAUGGGCUAAACCUCGUGCCUUCUAUAUGACAGUCAAAGAAGAUCAAAGGUAAGAAGCUGGUUUGAAAAAGAGAGAACAUUGCUAAAAUAUAAUGUAUUGCUUCUACUACUUUUAUUUUUGAGGAAGUUGGAAAAUCAUUAGUAAUUGAUCUGAGCAUCACAGUUAAGAUUUCAAAGGCAAA
rnacentral:lncRNA from 1 species